ensembl:lncRNA
UCAGCUCGGCUCAGACUCUCCUCAUCGAGAUUAACGCUGCGGACAGGGCCGGGCGGCCCGGGGGGGCAGCGUGGCCCUCAGCGUGACGUCACGGACCCCUCAUCAGAGGCCGCUGACAUUUACUGUAUCGCUUUGGAGAUGUAAGAGCACUUAGCCGCGAGGCAGGGAGGCACUUUUCAUCGUCGCUUUGAUGCCUUCCUCCUCCUACUUGCAGUGACGGGAUACACACUUUUCUCAGGGUCCCUCUUGUUGUGGUGCGACUUAGAAGAAGAAGAAGAUCCACAGACCUAGUAGGGGGGUUUCUGUGUGAUGGAGCAGGGCGUAAAUAUGAAGCUACUGACGGAAGCGGCUCAGCUCAGCGGGAAAGACCGGAAACAGGGAGACUGCUUGCAUAGUUAUUUUCAAAACUCACUAUGUUGUUAAUUAUAAAAACAGCACGUUUGACAGGUUUGUCACAUGGAGGACCAGGUAUCAGACAAGGUGGCAGACUCCUCAUGCGACUCACAAGAAACAAGACGCGUUUAGUCAUCAGCAGAGCUCGUAAAGUCUACUGAGCUAUAGAGAGAUAAGAAAUGUCACAAAGGCAGAGAAAGUGAGUCAUUCCAUCCGGCGUGAUGGACAUGUGACCACACACACACACACGCAGACACACACAGAGCGACUAUGAUUCACUCCUCUGCUCAGAGAGCUGGUGUGAUUCAUCCUGCGCCCUCGCUGUGGCAGCGCACAUUAAAAGCAAACCCUGCUACAGUUUAAAUGACCCGAGUGCUGAUUCAAAGAAAAGAAACUCCUGGACUCCGUCUCUCCCGGCUCCGGAUGACCCUGCAGCAGCCCGCUCGCCCACCCAAAACCGGCUUAUUCUGCCUCCUGCAACUCGUGGGGUGACGAAACCCAAUGAAAGGAUGCACAGGCCGAAUAUAAACAGAAAUAUGCAAGAAACGUUCAAGGAAAAGGUUUAUGUUGGCCCCCCGCUCUGUUGUUGUACAUUUGUCUUUACGUUUUCCUGUUGGUUAAUAUUAUGAACAGCAUUACACUUUUCGGAGUCAGUAUUUUUUCUAACGGAUAUCUUAUUUUGUAGCACUUAACAGAAGUAACAUGAAUGCACUCAAAGAGUGUGCCGCAGCUCAAGUGCCUGUAUACAAGCGUCAGGUGUCUUUAAGUUCAAGAGUUUGAUUAUAUCUCUUUUUUUUCACUUAUUCUAUGAGUUUGUGUGUUUCUGAUGAAGGUUUUUUGUAAGUCAGGUGACCUUGGGAGACUCAAGCAAACUGUAUAAACCUGGCACCGAUAUUAAGGGACUCAUACACAUAGGUGGCCAAUGAAGGCAUGCUGUGUGUCUACUUGCUAUACGUACUGAAACUAAUAGGGUCAUGUAGCAUUACAGAAAACAUACACAUGUCACCUGAGACUUCUGCUCAAAAACUCACAUAUGCCGUUACCCAAUAGCUCUACUGUGCAGAGGUUUUGCAUGCGCAGUACGUUUCAUCGUCAUCAUGGCAUCACGAUGAAACCUUAUCGGGAGGUUUACUGUGAUAUCGUUACAAACGUGAUGCGGAUGGUCCCGAAAAAAGCUGAAUGUCGACUUACCUACUAAUGUAAAAUGCAUUGUGUAAAUGUGAAUUUCUUAGAGUUAAUACAAGAUACAGAAAUACGCUAUGAAAUGUAAAAGAAAAUAACUAAAUAACAAUGUGUGCAAAUGAAAUAGAGCAUCUAUAAUACAAUAAACAGAGAUGUCAUUGCA